rnacentral:tRNA from 1 species
GCCGAGGUGGCGGAAUUUGGCAGACGCGCAUGGUUAAGGACCAUGUGGGCUUUGCCCGUGGGGGUUCGAGUCCCCCCCUCGGCAUCA